rnacentral:rRNA from 1 species
UACAGAGGUCCCAAGCGUUGUUCGGAUUCAUUGGGCGUAAAGGGUGCGUAGGCGGCGCGGUAAGUCGGGUGUGAAAUCUCGGGGCUUAACUCCGAAACUGCAUUCGAUACUGCCGUGCUUGAGGACUGGAGAGGAGACUGGAAUUUCCGGUGUAGCGGUGAAAUGCGUAGAUAUCGGAAGGAACACCUGUGGCGAAAGCGGCUCACUGGACCAUAACUGACGCUGAGGCGCGAAAGCUAGGGGAGCAAACAGG